GAUGGCGGUUCCACCAGGCCUAAUCGCCACACACCAGCAAAGGCAGGUUAUGCUAUAGUACAAGCCACUAGCCAGCCUCUUAGAACCUCUCAUUUCUUUUCCAUCGUGGAAAUCUAUCCUCAAGAAAAUAACUUCUCAGUGUUCCAUCUGCUAUUCUAUUACUCCUCAGGGAUUAUUCAGGCCCCCUCCCUUCCCUACACAUCAAGCUCGAGGAUUUGCCCCACCCAGGACUGGCAAAUUAGCUUUACUCAACAUGCCCUGAGUCAGAUAACUAAAAUACCUCUUAGUCUAGGGAGAUGCUUUCACUGGAUAGGUAGAGGCCUUUCCUACAGGGUCUGAGAAGGCCAUCGCAGUCAUUUCUUCCAUUCUGUCAGACAUAAUUCCUCAGUUUAGCCUUCCCACCUCAAUACAGUCUGACAACAGAUGAGCCUUUAUUAGUCAAAUCAGCCAAGCAGUUUUUCAGGCUCUUAGUAUUCAGUGAAACCUUUAUAUCCCUUACGGUCCUCCGAAAAGUAGAAUGGACUAAAGGUCUUUUAAAAACACACCUCACCAAGCUCAGCCACCAACUUAAAAAGGACUGGACAAUACUUUUACCACUUUCCCUUCUCAGAAUUCAGGCCUGUCCUCGGAAUGCUACAGGGUACCGCCCAUUUAAGCUCCUGUAUAGACGCUCCUUUUUAUUAGGCCCCAGUCUCAUUCCAGACACCAGACCAACUUAGACUGUGCCCCAAAAAAACUUGUCAUCCCUACUAUCUUCUGUCUAGCCAUACUCCUAUUCACCGUUCUCAACUACUCAUACAUGCCCUGCUCUUGUUUACACUGCCGGUUUACACUGUUUCUUCAAGCCAUCACAGCUGAUAUCUCCUGGUGCUAUCCCCAAACUGCCACUCUUAACUCUUGAAGUAAAUAAAUAAUCUUUGCUGGCAGGACUAUGCUGAAUCUCCUUAGGCGCUCUCUAAUCAGAUGUCCUGAGACAUCCCAAUUCUUAGACCUUUUAUACCUGUUUUUCUCCUUCUCUUAUUCCAUUUAGUUUCUCAAUUCAUCCAAAACCGUAUCCAGGCCAUCACCAAUCAUUCUAUACGACAAAUGUUUCUUCUAACAUGCUUGAAGCAGCCCUGAGAAACAUCGCCCGUUCUCUCUCCAUACCACCCCCCAAAAAUUUUCACCGCCCCAACACUUCAACACUAUUUUGUUUUAUUUGUCUUAUUAAGAAGGCAGGAAUGUCAGGCCUCUGAGCCCAAGCCAAGCCAUCGCAUCCCCUGUGACCUGCACGUAUAUAUACGCCCAGAUGGCCUGAAGUAACUAAAGAAUCACAAAAGAAGUGAAUAUGCCCUGCCCCACCUUAACUGAUGACAUUCCACCACAAAAGAAGUGUAAAUGGCCGGUCCUUGCCUUAACUGAUGACAUUACCUUGGGAAAGUCCUUUUCCUGGCUCAUCCUUGCUCCAAAAGCACCCCCACUGAGCAUCUUGCGACCCCGACUCCUGCCCGCCAGAGAACAAACCCCCUUUGUAAUUUUCCUUUACCUACCCAAAUCCUAUAAAACGGCCCCACCCUUAUCUCCCUUCGCUGACUCUUUUCGGACUCAGCCCACCUGCACCCAGGUGAAAUAAAC
rnacentral:lncRNA from 1 species